AGAGAAACAACAUAGGGCACGCCAUCUGGCCUCAAGCUCACUUCUGCUAAAUGUCAGUUUUGCUCGAGGCCGCUCACUCUCUGUGUGUGAAUUUAUGACCACUCCAGAAUUUCACCUUAAAGGAAUCGGCCCUGAUGUAAUGCAGUACUUUACAUUACUGAGCUCAGUUUUUUUUCAAUUAGGAAAUAUUUUUAGUUAUAGAUUCAACUGCUCUGUGAGAAAGUGCAUGGAUCAACAACACCUGCCGUGAAGGUUUACUGUCUAAAGUUGUAGAAGUUUUCAGACGUGUCACUGCUGGAUGUGAGGAUGGGAGCCACUUUGCUCUGUGAGCUGGGCCUAUUCUAUAAACCCAGGGCCACACUGACAGCAGGAACAACAAUCAUACCAGUAGGGGGCAGUGUGACACUGACCUGCUCUGUGCAGAGCUCUGAUGGAUGGAAAUAUGAGUGGUUCAGACGAACCCAAACAACCUCUGAAGUCAAAUCAGAGAUCAACAAAACAGAGAUAUCAGAGUAUCUCAAGGAGGAAUCUACAGCUGCAGAGGAACAAGAGGAAACCCAGUUUACUACACUGAUAGAAGUGAUGAUGUCACCAUUGAGAAAACCUUUUCCAAUAAAGUUGUUGUAAAACAACAACCCAACUGGCCUCAGAUAUUCAGAGGUGAGACGAUCACUCUGACAUGUGAGGUGCAGGAAGGAGGUGAAACCACUGAGUGGGAAGUAUGAAUGGAGAGGACCCAGGACACCCACACAGUGGACACACAAUAAUGAUGUGACAUUCAGAGUUUCUGAGUCCAGCAGUGGAGACUACAUGUGUAAGAGUCGACGCAGAGAUGACUCAUAUUCUUCAACAGAGUGGAGUGAAGCCUUCACAUUGUCAGCAUCAAGUAAGUCAUGUUUGUUGUGUGAUCUCCAUUUGACAAAUGUCAUAAUGGUCAGCACAGGAUGAAUUCAAUGGUCUACAAAGCAUGUUACAUUGUUAGUCAGACAAAGAGCUGCAGCUGAUAGUAGCCUCAUUGUAGACAGUUUGUCACCACUUUGUGUCAUCAAC